GAUGAACGCUGGCGGCGUGCCUAAUACAUGCAAGUCGAGCGAACAGACGAGGAGCUUGCUCCUCUGACGUUAGCGGCGGACGGGUGAGUAACACGUGGAUAACCUACCUAUAAGACUGGGAUAACUUCGGGAAACCGGAGCUAAUACCGGAUAAUAUAUUGAACCGCAUGGUUCAAUAGUGAAAGACGGUUUUGCUGUCACUUAUAGAUGGAUCCUCGCCGCAUUAGCUAGUUGGUAAGGUAACGGCUUACCAAGGCAACGAUGCGUAGCCGACCUGAGAGGGUGAUCGGCCACACUGGAACUGAGACACGGUCCAGACUCCUACGGGAGGCAGCAGUAGGGAAUCUUCCGCAAUGGGCGAAAGCCUGACGGAGCAACGCCGCGUGAGUGAUGAAGGUCUUCGGAUCGUAAAACUCUGUUAUUAGGGAAGAACAAAUGUGUAAGUAACUCUGCACGUCUUGACGGUACCUAAUCAGAAAGCCACGGCUAACUACGUG
rnacentral:rRNA from 1 species